UUUUUCACAAUGUGUUCAUCAUAUUUGCUAACUUUAAAAAAUCUUCUCCUCUGAAACUACUGAAUGGAUUUGGAUGAAACUUAGCAUGAUAGUUCCUUAGAUUAUCCUGCACAAAGUGUGUGCUUCGAUUUUUGAUCCAUCCAAAAACAUGGCCGCCCUUACUUUAAAUAGAACAUAGGGGUCAAAUGCAGUUUUUGGCUUAUAUCUCAAAAACGAAAGCAUUUAGAGCAAAUCUGACAUGGGGUAAAAAUGUUCAUUAGGUCAAGAUCUAUCAGCCCUGAAAUUUUCAGACGAAUCAAACAAACCAUUGUUGGGUUGCUGCCACUUAAUUGGUAAUUUAAAGGAAAUUUUGCAGUUUUUGGUCAUUAUCUUGAAUAUCAUUAUAGAUAAAGAUAAACUGUAAACAGCAAAAAUGAUCAGCA
rnacentral:lncRNA from 1 species